GUUAUACCUCGCCUAUAAUAAUAGUUGUCUGCUACUAUACGCCGUAUAAUGUAGCAAGAGUUUCCCAUUCAACCUUUCAGCCAACGCCUCGAUCAAGGCCAAGGACAAGGGCGCACUAUUAAUAUGCAAGAUAUGCAGGCCAAUUCAGCGUCUGAUCUACAGCGCGUGUCUUAUACCGUCGUCCUUGAAGAUGCCCCCAGAGUCAGCUGCCAUGUACCGUUCAGGGACUACAUACGAAACGUGCAUGUGACGUCACAGUUUACCGCAGUAUAUAAGCGACCCCACCGUGGCUCGUAACAUGCAAUUUCUUCGCCUGCAGAGCAAGAAACGAAUCACCAUGAACGCAUUGUUCGCCAUUGUCCUCGUCGCCCUGGUAGCAGUCGCCAGCGGAGUUCUUGUCAGCCCCUACACUUACGGGGCUGGUUACGGAGCCGUGCCGUAUGCCUCCUACGGUUACGCACCAGUGGCCUACAACCCCUACGCAUACGGUGCCUACGGUGGUCUUGGCUAUUACUUCCGCCGCUAACCACGCCACCAUGCCCUCCAAGAACACAGAAAACUACUACACGGCUCUUCAACCUGGACUGCGGCACGACUAAAAGCAUUUUCAGUACCCAAUAAAUCUGGCUUAAUAUUACA